UACAGAGGGGGCAAGCGUUGUUCGGAAUUACUGGGCGUAAAGGGCGCGUAGGCGGCCUGCUAAGUCGAACGUGAAAUCCCUGGGCUCAACCCAGGAACUGCGUCCGAUACUGGUUGGCUUGAAUCCGGGAGAGGGAUGUGGAAUUCCAGGUGUAGCGGUGAAAUGCGUAGAUAUCAGGAGGAACACCGGUGGCGAAGGCGGUUCUCUGGGCAUGUCCUGACGCUGAGGAGCGAAAGUGUGGGGAGCGAACAGG
rnacentral:rRNA from 1 species